rnacentral:rRNA from 1 species
GAUUCGUCACACUAUCAUUAACUGAAUCCAUAGGUUAAUGAGGCGAACCGGGGGAACUGAAACAUCUAAGUACCCCGAGGAAAAGAAAUCAACCGAGAUUCCCCCAGUAGCGGCGAGCGAACGGGGAGGAGCCCAGAGCCUGAAUCAGCAUGUGUGUUAGUGGAAGCGUCUGGAAAGGCGCGCGAUACAGGGUGACAGCCCCGUACACAAAAGCGCAUGUGCUGUGAGCUCGAUGAGUAGGGCGGGACACGUGGUAUCCUGUCUGAAUAUGGGGGGACCAUCCUCCAAGGCUAAAUACUCCUGACUGACCGAUAGUGAACCAGUACCGUGAGGGAAAGGCGAAAAGAACCCCGGCGAGGGGAGUGAAAAAGAACCUGAAACCGUGUACGUACAAGCAGUGGGAGCACCCUUCGGGGUGUGACUGCGUACCUUUUGUAUAAUGGGUCAGCGACUUAUAUUCUGUAGCAAGGUUAACCGUAUAGGGGAGCCGGAGGGAAACCGAGUCUUAAUUGGGCGUUAAGUUGCAGGGUAUAGACCCGAAACCCGGUGAUCUAGCCAUGGGCAGGUUGAAGGUUGGGUAACACUAACUGGAGGACCGAACCGACUAAUGUUGAAAAAUUAGCGGAUGACCUGUGGCUGGGGGUGAAAGGCCAAUCAAACCGGGAGAUAGCUGGUUCUCCCCGAAAGCUAUUUAGGUAGCGCCUCGUGAAUUCAUCUCCGGGGGUAGAGCACUGUUUCGGCUAGGGGGCCAUCCCGGCUUACCAACCCGAUGCAAACUGCGAAUACCGGAGAAUGUUAUCACGGGAGACACACGGCGGGUGCUAACGUCCGUCGUGAAGAGGGAAACAACCCAGACCGCCAGCUAAGGUCCCAAAGUCAUGGUUAAGUGGGAAACGAUGUGGGAAGGCCCAGACAGCCAGGAUGUUGGCUUAGAAGCAGCCAUCAUUUAAAGAAAGCGUAAUAGCUCACUGGUCGAGUCGGCCUGCGCGGAAGAUGUAACGGGGCUAAACCAUGCACCGAAGCUGCGGCAGCGAACGUAUCACCCAAGACAACUUUACGGAGUUGACGAUUGACGGAGCGAAGCGACGUCAAAGCGUUCAUUAAAGUCGAGUUGGCUUAGGGAUACGUUCGUUGGGUAGGGGAGCGUUCUGUAAGCCUGUGAAGGUGUGUCGUGAGGCAUGCUGGAGGUAUCAGAAGUGCGAAUGCUGACAUAAGUAACGAUAAAGCGGGUGAAAAGCCCGCUCGCCGGAAGACCAAGGGUUCCUGUCCAACGUUAAUCGGGGCAGGGUGAGUCGACCCCUAAGGCGAGGCCGAAAGGCGUAGUCGAUGGGAAACGGGUUAAUAUUCCCGUACUUGGUGUUACUGCGAAGGGGGGACGGAGAAGGCUAUGUUGGCCGGGCGACGGUUGUCCCGGUUUAAGCGUGUAGGUGUGUGUUCCAGGUAAAUCCGGUUCACUUUAACACUGAGGCGUGACGACGAGGCACUACGGUGCUGAAGCAACAAAUGCCCUGCUUCCAGGAAAAGCCUCUAAGCAUCAGGUAACACGAAAUCGUACCCCAAACCGACACAGGUGGUCAGGUAGAGAAUACCAAGGCGCUUGAGAGAACUCGGGUGAAGGAACUAGGCAAAAUGGUGCCGUAACUUCGGGAGAAGGCACGCUGACACGUAGGUGAAGUGAUUUACUCAUGGAGCUGAAGUCAGUCGAAGAUACCAGCUGGCUGCAACUGUUUAUUAAAAACACAGCACUGUGCAAACACGAAAGUGGACGUAUACGGUGUGACGCCUGCCCGGUGCCGGAAGGUUAAUUGAUGGGGUCAGCGCAAGCGAAGCUCCUGAUCGAAGCCCCGGUAAACGGCGGCCGUAACUAUAACGGUCCUAAGGUAGCGAAAUUCCUUGUCGGGUAAGUUCCGACCUGCACGAAUGGCGUAAUGAUGGCCAGGCUGUCUCCACCCGAGACUCAGUGAAAUUGAACUCGCUGUGAAGAUGCAGUGUACCCGCGGCAAGACGGAAAGACCCCGUGAACCUUUACUAUAGCUUGACACUGAACAUUGAGCCUUGAUGUGUAGGAUAGGUGGGAGGCUUUGAAGUGUGGACGCCAGUCUGCAUGGAGCCGACCUUGAAAUACCACCCUUUAAUGUUUGAUGUUCUAACGUGGACCCGUAAUCCGGGUUGCGGACAGUGUCUGGUGGGUAGUUUGACUGGGGCGGUCUCCUCCUAAAGAGUAACGGAGGAGCACGAAGGUUGGCUAAUCCUGGUCGGACAUCAGGAGGUUAGUGCAAUGGCAUAAGCCAGCUUGACUGCGAGCGUGACGGCGCGAGCAGGUGCGAAAGCAGGUCAUAGUGAUCCGGUGGUUCUGAAUGGAAGGGCCAUCGCUCAACGGAUAAAAGGUACUCCGGGGAUAACAGGCUGAUACCGCCCAAGAGUUCAUAUCGACGGCGGUGUUUGGCACCUCGAUGUCGGCUCAUCACAUCCUGGGGCUGAAGUAGGUCCCAAGGGUAUGGCUGUUCGCCAUUUAAAGUGGUACGCGAGCUGGGUUUAGAACGUCGUGAGACAGUUCGGUCCCUAUCUGCCGUGGGCGCUGGAGAACUGAGGGGGGCUGCUCCUAGUACGAGAGGACCGGAGUGGACGCAUCACUGGUGUUCGGGUUGUCAUGCCAAUGGCACUGCCCGGUAGCUAAAUGCGGAAGAGAUAAGUGCUGAAAGCAUCUAAGCACGAAACUUGCCCCGAGAUGAGUUCUCCCUGAGACUUAGAGUCUCCUGAAGGAACGUUGAAGACGACGACGUUGAUAGGCCGGGUGUGUAA